CCUACGGGAGGCUGCAGUGGGGAAUAUUGCGCAAUGGGCGAAAGCCUGACGCAGCGACGCCGCGUGAGGGAUGAAGGUCUUCGGAUCGUAAACCUCUGUCAGCAGGGAAGAACGGUCACUGUGCUAAUCAGCAGUGAAUUGACGGUACCUGCAAAGGAAGCACCGGCUAACUCCGUGCCAGCAGCCGCGGUAAUACGGAGGGUGCGAGCGUUAAUCGGAAUUACUGGGCGUAAAGCGCUCGUAGGCGGUCUGUCAAGUCAAGGGUGAAAUCCCCGCGCUCAACGUGGGAAGUGCAUUUGAGACUGGCAAACUGGAGUGUGUGAGAGGAUAGUGGAAUUCCAGGUGUAGGAGUGAAAUGCGUAGAUAUCUGGAGGAACAUCAGUGGCGAAGGCGACUAUCUGGCACAUAACUGACACUGAGGAGCGAAAGCGUGGGUAGCAAACAGGAUUAGAUACCCCGGUAGUC
rnacentral:rRNA from 1 species